AUGAGCAUGCGUCCCAUUAGCUAGUUGGUAAGGUAACGGCUUACCAAGGCAACGAUGGGUAGGGGUCCUGAGAGGGAGAUCCCCCACACUGGUACUGAGACACGGACCAGACUCCUACGGGAGGCAGCAGUGAGGAAUAUUGGUCAAUGGGCGCAAGCCUGAACCAGCCAUGCCGCGUGCAGGAUGACGGUCCUAUGGAUUGUAAACUGCUUUUGCACAGGAAGAAACACUCGGUCGUGACCGAGCUUGACGGUACUGUGAGAAUAAGGAUCGGCUAACUCCGUGCCAGCAGCCGCGGUAAUACGGAGGAUCCAAGCGUUAUCCGGAAUCAUUGGGUUUAAAGGGUCCGUAGGCGGCCAGAUAAGUCAGUGGUGAAAGCCCAUCGCUCAACGAUGGAACGGCCAUUGAUACUGUUUGGCUUGAAUUAUUUGGAAGUAACUAGAAUAUGUAGUGUAGCGGUGAAAUGCUUAGAGAUUACAUGGAAUACCAAUUGCGAAGGCAGGUUACUACAAAUUGAUUGACGCUGAUGGACGAAAGCGUGGGUAGCGAACAGGAUUAGAUACCCUGGUAGUCCACGCCGUAAACGAUGGAUACUAGCUGUUGGGAGCAAUCUCAGUGGCUAAGCGAAAGUGAUAAGUAUCCCACCUGGGGAGUACGUUCGCAAGAAUGAAACUCAAAGGAAUUGACGGGGGCCCGCACAAGCGGUGGAGCAUGUGGUUUAAUUCGAUGAUACGCGAGGAACCUUACCAAGGCUUAAAUGUAGAUUGACCGGUUUGGAAACAGACUUUUCGCAAGACAAUUUACAAGGUGCUGCAUGGUUGUCGUCAGCUCGUGCCGUGAGGUGUCAGGUUAAGUCCUAUAACGAGCGCAACCCCUGUUGUUAGUUGCCAGCGAGUCAUGUCGGGAACUCUAGCAAGACUGCCAGUGUAAACUGUGAGGAAGGUGGGGAUGACGUCAAAUCAUCACGGCCCUUACGCCUUGGGCUACACACG
rnacentral:rRNA from 1 species